UUGAAAGGGAAACGAUUGAAGUCAGUCAUGUUGGUAGGGAAUCAACUUGAUGGUAUGCGGGUUUACUCGUGUUCUUUUGAGUGCACUUCCUUACUUGCUAGUUAGCAUCAAUUUUGGUUAUCAUAUAAAAAUUGAGGGAAGGUGGCUUUUCUUCGGAAAAGUGUUAUAGACCUUGAUUAUUGUGGUUACCGGGAUUGAGGAUUGCAGCGGAUACCCUUUUGGGCUAGUCACCUUGCUUCUGAUGGUUACCCCGUCUUCGAUAGCUUGCUAACGUUGAUGGGAUUUAAUUAUCCAGAUGUUGAAGUGAUCAUAAAUUCGUUAAGGAUGUUGACGUA
rnacentral:rRNA from 1 species